rnacentral:lncRNA from 1 species
ACAGCCCCCAUAGUAUAAAACUGUUUUAAUACAUACCUGCCAGCCAAUCAGAAUAUUCAGACAGACCAUGGUAUAAGUUAUUGAAUAGGAGCUUCAGUGUGACUGGUACAGUCAUUCCAAACCAACAAGACCUUCGUUCAUCUUUGGAACACAAAUGAAGAUAUUACUGAUGAAAUACCCCAUAGACAUCAAUGCCACUACCACCUCAGAAAGGUAUUAAAGUCAUUGUUAAAAUAGCGCAUCCGGGUCUCUGUCAAAAUGCUGUCUCCUGCAUCAGCACCUCUCGUGAAUGCAUGUCAGAGACUGACACAGAAAAAAUUAAUUGUUGAAAGAGUAUUAUCUGGUAUAAGUUAUUGAAUAGGAGCUUCAGUGUGACUGGUACAGUCAUUCCAAACCAACAAGACCUUCGUUCAUCUUUGGAACACAAAUGAAGAUAUUACUGAUGAAAUACCCCAUAGACAUCAAUGCCACUACCACCUCAGAAAGGUAUUAAAGUCAUUGUUAAAAUAGCGCAUCCGGGUCUCUGUCAAAAUGCUGUCUCCUGCAUCAGCACCUCUCGUGAAUGCAUGUCAGAGACUGACACAGAAAAAAAUUAAUUGUUGAAAGAGUAUUAUCGUCACUUCAUAAUUAAACCUGAACCACUAUAGUCCUUAUUUCCUUUCUGGGCCUUGAGGUAGUAGUUGAAUUGCUGUCUAUGCAGGAUAAGAAUGCUCUUGGAUUUCAUCUAAAAUAUCUUAACUUGUGUUCUGAAGAUGAAACGAAGUUCUUAGGGGUUUGGAACGACAUGAGGGUGAGUAAUUAAUGAUAGAAUUCUCAUUUCUGGGUGAACUAACCCUUUAAGGAGAAAUAAAGCAUAACAUUUAUUGAGCACAUUUCUAUGAGCUACAUGACGCAAAGAGGCAAUGAAUGUGUGCAGUUGUUAUUUUACCUUUGUUUUCCUAGAAAGAAAACAAGUACCGGUCAUAUCUACUCGUCAGAUGAAGAGGCAGCAGAUCAACCACCCAUUAAAAAAAGAAAAGCUGCAAACAAAGCAAGUGUUCCACCUGCACCAAAACCUCCAGCAAUUCCAAAACGCAACAAAAAAGCAUUUGUCAAUCAGCAACAGCAGCAGAACUGGUGUGAGAGUCUCCCCAGCUUUCAAGCUCCACUGCGUAUGUCUCAGGGAGACCAUCACGGAGACGGCUGGUGUGUUGAUCAACCUAACACACAAGAGCACAACUUUGCUGUCCUGAGACCCUCAGAGGACCACCUAGGAAGAGCCCAGAGUAAGUUAAUUGCACAUAAAUCCACUUAAGUAAUUUUUAAAAUUUGACACCCUUCACAGAUCCUUCUAUUAUUUAAAAUAAAAAGAGUGGCUCAUAUUUUUUCCAUUAUUGGGCACUCUAUAUACAGAUGGUAGACAACCAAAAUGGGUACUACCGCCGCGCAUACCGCCGCGUUAACUGCAAGUCAGUCGCGUGUCAAAUUAAUUCGCGAAACUACCGCCAGGUGGCGCAAAGGGACGGAUUGCGAACUGAAUGUAAUUGUAAAAUGAGAUAAAACG